rnacentral:rRNA from 1 species
GACGAACGCUGGCGGCGUGCCUAAUACAUGCAAGUCGAGCGAAGCGGCGGAUUGGUGAGUAAAGCGUGGGUAACCUGCCAUUCAGUCUGGGAUACCAUUUGGAAACAGAUGCUAAUACCGGAUACUAAAGGAUGGUCGUGCGGUGCAUUAGCUAGUGGGUAAGGUAACGGCGUACCAAGGCGAUGAUGCAUGGCAGGUUUGAUAGACUGAGCGGCCACAUUGGUACUGAGACACGGCCCAAACUCCUACGGGAGGCAGCAGUAGGGAAUCUUACACAAUGGACGAAAGUCUGAUGGAGCAACGCCGCGUGAUUGAAGAAGGUUUUCGGAUCGUAAAGCUCUGUUGUUGGUGAAGCGGUAAUCAACCAGAAAGUCACGGCUAACUACGUGCCAGCAGCCGCGGUAAUAC